AGAGUUUGAUCCUGGCUCAGGAUGAACGCUAGCUACAGGCUUAACACAUGCAAGUCGAGGGGAAACGACAUCGAAAGCUUGCUUUUGAUGGGCGUCGACCGGCGCACGGGUGAGUAACGCGUAUCCAACCUGCCCACCACUUGGGGAUAACCUUGCGAAAGUAAGACUAAUACCCAAUGACGUCUCUAGAAGACAUCUGAAAGAGAUUAAAGAUUUAUCGGUGAUGGAUGGGGGAUGCGUCUGAUUAGCUUGUUGGCGGGGUAACGGCCACCAAGGCUACGAUCAGUAGGGGUUCUGAGAGGAAGGUCCCCACACUUGGAACUGAGACACGGUCCAAACUCCUACGGGAGCA
rnacentral:rRNA from 1 species